UUCUCUGCCGAUGAGCUUUAAAGACAAAGUCUCUGCUGAUUUUGGCAAGGCUGAAGAUAAUAUGGUGAUCGGAGAUGAAGACUA
rnacentral:sRNA from 1 species